UCGGGAGGGUACUGGAUGCCCAACAUCUUGAAAAUGACUUUUUAUAUGUCUGACUACUGCAAAAAUGUUUCCUUCUAUGUCUUUUUAUGUUUCUUUCUUGAUUUUCUUGCAAACUUACUUCUUCCACCUGACAAAAGUUUUAUGCUUCAGUUACUUUGGAAAAAUGGAGACAAGAGUGGAGGAAGCGAACAACUCAUUGAACCCUUGCUUGCUGCCCUCAGCUCCUCCUCCAUGCUCAGUUUACCUCCUAGUAGGCGUGCCGCAGCUAUGCCUUGCACUGCGACUUUUCUGGCACCAAGGGCUGGGGACUUUAACUGUAAGUUUCUCUUUGAAACAUCCAUGGAGUUGCCAACUCUUUGCUAUUGGGAAAGAAGUAAGUGAAACAGAAUGUCGCAACCUCUCUACAAUAUGAAAGUUAUCUUGUAUCUCUGUUUUUCUCAAGUUUAUGUAAAUCUUACAAGAAAUACAUCAUCACAAACAUAUGAAAACUCUUCAGGUACUGAAUUCAUUGACAAAUUCCAAUUCAACAAGACGUGGGAUCUCUGCCUACAAGGAGUUAUAAUUGUCAUGCAGGCGGGUGGAAUCAAUCAUCAAUAAGCAUCAAGCAAAAGAUGAAGCUUUCCAAUCAAAACAGAAUACAAUCAGGAAAAAGAAGUUCGAUUUAAGUAGUGAAACUACCUGCUGCCGCGAAAAUAUGAAGGAAACAACUUCCAUACUCUCUUUUCUUCUUGUCAUGGUUACUCCUCAAGCGCGGAAACAUACAUGGAAUUGCUGACUCUCUGCUAUGAUGGGAAAGAAGGAACUGAAACAAAAGGCAAUGAAGUUAUCGAGAAAUUCCAAUGCAACAAGAAGUGGGAUUUUCACGUGCAAAGAGUUUGAAUUGUGAUGCUGCAUGGUGGAACUCACGUGCACCAAGAAUCAGCCCUCGACAAGCAUUUGGAGUUGAGAUGCUUAUGUAUCUAAUGAUCAACUUGUUCGAAUAGGUGCUGCUGUGGCAUCUUUAAGUCCAUUAAGCGCAUAGGAUUGAUGAGCUGAACGAAGAGGAUAAGUUCGUUUCCAAGUUUGUUAUCGAGCUGCUAAUCUUGCUUCUUAAUUUUCUGUGAAGCAACAGACGAUUGAGAAGCUCGUUAGAAAUGAAAUCACCUAGAGGGAUUGGAUCACAAAGUCUAAUGCAGGAAGGUUCGGAUGGGGAUGAAGAAUCAGUUUGUUGGAGUUAUUGAAAUGUGGUUAGAGCAGCGUGGAUAUAUCACCAUGGCAUCUUCCUAAAUCGCCAAAGAGGAAUCCACUAUCCUUUUUUACGUACAGCAAAACAUAUGGAGGAACCGCUGAUAUGACAGUAAAAGCAAGACGUGCAGUCCUUCGGUAGGGCUAGUUGCCAAGAAAGGUGCUACUAACAAAGAGCAAGAUCAUCAAAUUGGUGAAAGUCUCAACUGAACAAUUUGUGAAUAUUAAAAGAAAUUGAGUAGAUGAGCAUUUGUUUUUCCCCCUCAUUUUCAACAUUUUACUUGUAUAAAGAUUGGCUGGAUUUUAUUUUAUUUUUCUAAAAGAGAAAGUGAGGGAUUUUUGGGCUCUAAA